rnacentral:ncRNA from 1 species
UAACGUUUUGGUCCUAGACUUACUGCUAUUUGUAAACAAGUCUAUACAUGCAAGCCUCAACAUUCCCGUGAAAUACGCCUAUAAAACAAAGUGUAAACAGAGCUGGCAUCAGGGUGACCCCCAAGACGCCAAGCCCCGCCACAUCCACACGGACAUGCAGCAGUAAUUAACAUUUAACAAUGAGCCAAGCUCGAUUAAGCUAUGAUCAAUUAGAGUCGGCAAAUCUCUGUGCCAGCCGCCGCGGUUAUACAGAAGACCCAAAAUAGCAUGACCGGCAAAAAAAUGACUAAAAUUUAAUCCAACCAACAAAUAAGAAGAACACAAAAUUGGACCGUUAAACAGCACCUACAAUAAUACCAAAACAAUCUUAUAUUAAGGACAUUUGACUCAUCAAAACCAGGGUACAAACUAGGAUUAGAUACCCUACUAUGCCUGGAAAUAAACAACACUGCCAAAAAAGUACAAACAUUAGUUCAAAACUUAAAAGACCUGGCGGUGUCCAAAAUCAACCUAGAGGAGCUUGUUAUAUAAUCGAUAAUCCACGUUAAACCUUACCUACUCUGGCAAAUCCAGCCUAUAUACCGCCGUCGACAGCCCAUUUUUCUAAAAAUAGAGCGACUUAGGCUCCCCCUAAAACGACAGGCCAAGGCGUAGCUUAUGAGAAGGACAAUAAUGGGCUACACUACUACACAACAACAAAACUUCACUGAAAUACAGUCGCACGAAGAAGAAUUUAGCAGUAAGAAGAAUAAGAGCGUUCUACUGAACCAGGACAUUGGACACGCACACACCGCCCGUCACCCUCACCAUAGUCUUAUAGGAGAGGAAAGUCGUAACAUGGUAAGCGUACCAGAAGGUGUGCUUGGAAGCAA